rnacentral:rRNA from 1 species
UGCCCCAGUAACGGCGAGUGAAGCGGCAACAGCUCAAAUUUGAAAUCUGGCUCUCGGGCCCGAGUUGUAAUUUGUAGAGGAUGCUUUUGGUGAGGUGCCUUCCGAGUUCCCUGGAACGGGACGCCAUAGAGGGUGAGAGCCCCGUCUGGUUGGACGCCGAACCUCUGUAAAGCUCCUUCGACGAGUCGAGUAGUUUGGGAAUGCUGCUCUAAAUGGGAGGUAUAUGUCUUCUAAAGCUAAAUACCGGCCAGAGACCGAUAGCGCACAAGUAGAGUGAUCGAAAGAUGAAAAGAACUUUGAAAAGAGAGUUAAACAGUACGUGAAAUUGUUGAAAGGGAAGCGCUUGUGACCAGACUUGGGCUUGGUUGAUCAUCCGGGGUUCUCCCCGGUGCACUCUUCCGGCCCAGGCCAGCAUCAGUUCGCCCUGGGGGACAAAGGCUUCGGGAACGUGGCUCUCUCCGGGGAGUGUUAUAGCCCGUUGCGUAAUACCCUGUGGCGGACUGAGGUUCGCGCAUUCGCAAGGAUGCUGGCGUAAUGGUCAUCAGUGACCCGUCUUGAAACACGGACCAAGGAGUCGUCUUCGUAUGCGAGUGUUCGGGUGUCACACCCCUACGCGAAAUGAAAGUGAACGCAGGUGAGAGCUUCGGCGCAUCAUCGACCGAUCCUGAUGUUAUCGGAUGGAUUUGAGUAAGAGCAUACGGGGCCGGACCCGAAAGAAGGUGAACUAUGCCUGUGUAGGGUGAAGCCAGAGGAAACUCUGGUGGAGGCUCGCAGCGGUUCUGACGUGCAAAUCGAUCGUCAAACAUGGGCAUGGGGGCGAAAGAC